GCAUAUAGAAAUUUAAGUACACACAUCACGCGCGCGACACCGUAGAGGCAGUCUGUCCGUCUGUCUGCGUCAUCGCCGUCGUCGUAGGUAGUCUUUUCUGUUGUGAGGCUUCCCUCUCUCCCUCUGCGUCUUUCCGCCCGCCUCUUCUCUUGUUGUCGUCAUAGAUCGGUCACCAGCCACCCAGCAUCCGGUCGGUGGAAGCGCCGACGCUCCCCCUUAUCACUACCACCGCCACAUCUCUCUCUCACGUUGUAUUACGUACGUAGACGUCCCCACCCAGCGCCUACCGACUCCAUGCAACCGAGAUUGGUGCUGCCCAGCUCGCAGCCUCUAAGGAUCUCAGCGCAGUAUCCAGUGGGGUCGUCUUCGGCAGAACCGUCAUCAUCAUCGGCCGCGGCUCGGCCUCGAGGGUCGUAUGGCGUGUCCAUCGACCCUGCACAAGCCCCGAAUGUCGCCGCCGUGGCGGUAGCGACGCCACUGCCGCCACCAUCUUCCUCGUCACGACUUCUGCAGGAGAUCGAGGAAACCCGUAAACUCCUUCGCACCUUCCGCUCGUUGAAGGAGCGCGGCGCGAGCCGUGCUGAGCUGGCAGAUCUUCACCUCCGUGUCAAGGCCCUCAAGGCGGCGCAGCAGUGCCAGCAACCAAAUUCCGGCGCAUGCAAGGCGACAGCUCUCCCUCUGGCUACGUCCACUACCGCGGACGCAGAAGCUGCUGCAGCAACAGCAGCGGCGCGUCCGUCGCUCGCUUGCUCACCCAAGGCGGCGCCACCAUUGCCAUGCGUGCACCGUCACGCAGACGUCGCAUUCCACGAGGGAGCAGCUGGGUGGACUGCGGAAUCAAGCCACAGUUUGCAUCAACCUCAGCAGCGAGGCGUCGAGGAGGCGCACGUUGCACAUCGCGACGGACGGCUACCGGAAGGCAGGCAUCAUCAUCAUCACCGUCACCGUCACCGCCACAAUGACGUCCGUGUGGACCGGGCGGCAUCGCUGUCCAUCUCUACGAGCCUAUCUACAGCCGCAGCACAGGCUUCGACGGCAGUGUGCAACGGCAUCUUUAACGCCGCCAGCAGCGGCAGCGCUGGCGUUUGCAGUGCCGUGGCGCUGCAGCCAAGCACGGCGUCGGCAGUGCCCGGAUACCUUGUGCAGAUCAGCUCGAUCGUCUUUGCCAUCGCGCUCGCGGAGGCGCACACGCGUCGUGAGAUCGCGCAACGAUGGGAGCGCCGGUGGCUGCGGCACUGGGCGAACUUCAAGGAGGAGCGCAUCGCCAUAGCCCUGCGCCCGCCCACCACAGCGACAGCGGCGCUGUCACGUCCGCAGCUGCAGCCGGAGAGGUGGGCGGAGGCUGCCCCGAUGGCGCUACCUCACGAAUGGCAGCAGCGGCAACAGGCGGUGUCGCCGGCGACGGCGAGUGUGGAGGGGAGCAGUGUUGCGACAGCCACCGCAGCCCGCACUGUCGGCGCUUCUCUUGCGCCAGUGCCGGCCAAGAGCGUUGGGGAGGCGUUCACAGCUACAACAAGCAGCCCAGCGGUGGCGGGUCUUGAAGAGACGUCGCCGCUCUCGGCCGGUCACCGCAGUGGCGACGAGGCGCACCAUGUCGCUGAAGAACAAGAGAAGACGAUCCCCGACGUGGACGACGCCGCUGUGGCAAAAGACUUGCUGGCGUGGGCAAGUCCUCUUCCACAGCACCAGCAGCAUCCGGCAGCACCGGUAACAGAACAAGAGUUAGAGGCGAGCGCAUGCGCCGCUGCUGAUGCGACUGCCGAAGCGGCUGCAGCCGUGAGGAACGUGGAGGACGAAGAAGCUACCGCGCGCACAGCGACGGAGAGCGCUGCGGCAGAGGCACGGAAGCGUAUGAAGAUGGCUGAAGUCACAGCGCGCCUCAGAGCUGAGGAGCCGCAGGAGUCUGUGCAGUCAUUCAUGGCCGCUGAAGCAGGGGCCCGUGUCACCCUCGAAGGCGAUGAGGCCCGCUUGAGGAUCUCGCACGUUGCAGCGGAGAGGGACGGCGCCCAGCGCGUUGCCCUUGCGGCAGCAGAGGCGGAGUCUCGGCGGAGAGCGCAGGAGGAACAGGUGCGUCAGGAGGCAGCCGCGCGAGCAGCGGCGUCCAAGAGAGAGGAAGAGAAGGAGCGAGAAGCUGCUGCGCGUCGUGCGGCCGAGGAGCAACAGCAAGCUGCAGCAGACACCGAAGCUGCAGAGCGGCGUUCCGUGGAGCAGCAGUGGCAGGAAGCCGUCCGUCUGUCCGAGUCACUUCUGUCCGAUCGGAUCAAGGAUGCUGUUGCAGCGGCUCCGCCGUUGGCUUACUCGAAGGGCACGCGUGCACCCGAACGUCCAUCGCGCGAUGAGCUAGCAAUGAUGGAGGACGCACAAGCAAGAGAGGCCGCGGACGCGCAGGCCUGCCUACGUGAGCGGCAGCAAGCAGCGGAGCAGGGUGUUGCGGCUUUCGGCGCAGCAGCGGAUGCUGUGCUUGGUGAGUGGAUCAGCACGGCAGCGAUGGAGGCCGAGCAGGCAGCGUCGGUUGAGGCAGCCAGGCGGAGAAAGGCAGAAGAAGCCGCAGCUCAAGCGAAGGCUGUGGCGCAGGAGAGGGCAUCUGCGGCUGAGGCUGCACGCGCCGCGGUCGCACGGACCGAAGACGAAGGCAGGGCUGCACUGACAGCUUCGGAAGAGGAGGUGUGGCAGUGGCUGCAGCUGCAGCACGGAGCUGGCCUUGAGUCGACGCGUCUCGCAGCUCUUGCAGCCGAGGGAAAGGCCGCGUGCCACCGUGCUGAGGAGGAGGCAGCUGCUGCCCGUCUGACGUUGGAGAUGAGUGCAUCCAAAGAAGCAGCGCGUGCCAAGGCCAUCCAGGAGGCCGUGCGCUUGCAGGCGGAGCAGCAGGCAGCUGCGAUGACCGUUACGCUGUGCUCCGCCGUCGCCGAGUUCUCCAAGAAUCUUGUGGACGGCUGCCUAGCCGAGGCAGCACAGCAGGUAUCCGAACAAGUAAAAGCGGCCGCUCUGGAGGAGUUGCAGAUGCAACGGCGCGAGAGGGUCGAAAGGGAAGAGGCGUCGGCGCGAGAUGACACGUACGGCGACGCGCUUGACGAACUGGCGAGACUGCGCGAGGAGGAAGCAGCCGCACAGGUCCGCAAGCGCAUGGAGGUCGAAGCUGUGGCUGUCGCGAAGGAGCAGCAGCAGCAGCAGCAGCGUAUGCAAGCGGCUGCACAGUAUUUUCGGAUUUGCGAGUUAAGUGAAGCUCUGCUGCUCGAAUUCCUGCACGACGCUGCCGCCACCGCCGCGGCGGCACGCACGGCAGCCGUCGCUAACGAUCGUCUUGCCGAAGCGUCACCGCCGGCUGCCUUACCAGAAGGGGAAGAGGGAGCAGCGAGCGCUGUCAUGGAGGACGGACAGCAGCACCAGCACCACCACCCGUCUGCCGAUGACGCCGCUGAAGAGCCGAACGCUCGCGCAGACAAGAGGCAGGGGGACGGCGUCGACAGCCCUGACAAGGCUAACGUAGACACAGCAGCACCGGGAGCCGUGGCCGCUACAGCGUCACUCUCUCUCUCGCCGUCGUCUUCUGCCGGCCCGUCGUCUUUCUUCGUGGAAUCCGUCUCUGCGGAUGCGACUCCGAGGGCUGUCACAACUGGCGUGCUGCAAGGCCAUGCGGUCGAGGGCUUAGGGCUUCUGUCGCCCACCGUUUUAGUGCACGUCGUCGAUGGCCUCCUCUCUGAUGUUCUCCGUGAUGCAGCCAUGGAGGCGCAGAGGGGCGGUGCUGGUGCUGUCGGCGCGAUCAGCGAGGAUAUAGCAAGCCGAGCACACGCAGGGCAGAGGGCGAGGGAGCACUGCAAGCCCCUGCCCAACGGCUCCGACGCGUCCUUCGUGUCGAUUGGCCAUGGCAGCUCGCACUCAACCCUUGGGUGCUCCCCACCGUGGGAGCCGCAGCCGAAGCCUCUGGAGCUACCGCUCGCCCUCGUGGUCCGUGAUGCUGCAGGCGACCGUGUGCCACAAGUGCAGUACACGGGGGGCGAGCCCAAGGACUGUGCGGAGGCUGGCGUGGUUAUUGGCGGGGCCGGCAACGUCACGGCGUCUCCGGCUGAGGUCUCGGACGUGGACAGCUGCGCCCCACACCGGCGCAUCGUCUCACCUCUCUUGAUACCAUCAAUGGACGUCGCCAUCGUCAGCACCUCCUCCACUUCGACAGCUUCAGUAACGGACGGAAGAAGAAGAGGCUGCGCUCGCGGCUCCGCCGGCGCGACUGCAACGGCGUCGUCACCGCUGCACUGCUUCUCCACGGCAUCCUCGGCCGACGACGACGACGCGGCCUGCAGCUCCCUCACCGCCCCGGGGGCGCCAUGCCCGCUCAAUCUGCUGCAGCACGGUGUUUUGUCUCCGCUACUGUGCCAGCAGCACGGCGGCAACGGCGGCGUACCCCACGAUGGCGGCGAGGCAAGCACGCCUACCGACAGUGAAGAUGCGGCGGGCACUACAACGGUCGCUGCAUUGGCUGAUCGGCCCUCGUUAUCGGAGAAUAGCCGAGCAAGACGGCAGCUUCCAGAGAGCACCGGGACCGGCGACCACGAGGCCGCCUCCGACGCAGAUGGAAUGCUGUCCGCGGUGGUCGCAAUGGACCACAGAGUCAUGGGAAUCACAGAGGACUUGCGCGCUUUUCAGCUAGACGCACCGCCACCGCCACAUGGCGCAGCCGAGCAGCGCGCUGGAGUGCGUAUCGCUGCCUAUGAUACACUCACGGCAGACGCUGUGGCGGCGGUGGCAGACUCUCUGGUGCAGCGCGCGGUUCACGACGCGUCUCUUCUCUUCGACUUUCGGGGGCAGUCGGCAGUGCCGAACACCGACAGCGAUCACCAGGAGUCUCACGACGCCGUCAAGGUCGACCACGCAGCGGCACCACCGUUUCUUUUCGCCAUCGCUCAGAGCCACGAGCAGGGCACGGCGGAAGGCAAGAGCAGUGACAAUGGCAGCGGUGGUGGGACGUCCUCAUCCGCUUGCGCCGGGGAUGUCGAUGCACAUACCGAGAAGAGGGCCAGCAUCGCGGAGAUGGGCUCAGGCUUCACGAGUGGCGACGCUCGGGAAGCCACCCUGCGUGUUAAUCGGUCGCUUUCGCCGGCCGCUGCCGCGGUGGCCGUGGAAGGCAUCGCUGGUUCGCAUGCGCCGCUCGCAAGCCUGUCUACCCUCGUCUCCGCCGUGGCGGCACCAAACGACUUCGUGGCUCGGCUGCGGCAGCAAGAGGCAGAGAAGAAGGCGGCGGCGCAUCAACAAAACCGCUACCUCACCAGUCGCGAGCUGGCGCUCGUCGCGGCGCGUUACUUGACGUCGGAAGCGGCCGCAGCGCAUGUGAUGGAGGUUGGCCCCACCACCACGCUUUCGGCCCGUGCCGUGGAGCUUGUUCUGUCGGUGGGGCUCGUGCGUGCAGCCACACUGGAGAAUCGACGCGCGCGCCGCCGCAUGGAGAAGGCGGAGAAGGGAGACGGGAGCAGCGCCAGGGGCGAUGGCAGCACAUCGGGUGGCGGUGUGCUCGUGGGAGAGAGCGGGUCGCAGAAGUUGACCCCAGGCGGUGGAGCUGCCUCAGCGAUGAUGGACAGCCCGGACGCGCCGCUCCCGUCGCUGGGCGGCGGUGGUGAUGGAGGUGGAUUUCCGACGGGUACCAUCGGCGGGGCAGGCGCGGCAGGGGACGACGAGGGCGUCAAUGUUCAACUCGUGCCACCAACCGCACGUUGCCGCAGCGGCGGCGGCGACUUGAGCAUGCCUGAGCCUACCGCCUCGAGCGCUGUGGGCGAUUUUGCGCACGCGAGCGGGGACGUCAAGGAUACGGGCAUGAGUGGCGGGCCCACAGAUCUGGGGUCCCAGCCCCUGUCACCGCGGUCGUCGUCAUCGAUCGGGUCCGCCUCUCAGCCGACGACAGGUGGUGGCGUCAAAGGCGCGCUCGCAGCGAAUCCAGCGCAGCACCAGGUUGGGGUGCGCGACAAGCUGCCAGCGGACUGGGCCACCGCGCUGCGCGGCGUGGCGGAGCGGGUCGCGCGCGACUUCAUCGACUACGCCUCCCGCCGCGUGCUGCUCGGCCAAGGUGAGGGCCAGUCGAACCAAGAUCACCUGCGCACUGCGCGACGCAUCCACAUCGACGCCCUCGAGGGCGUCGAUGUGCCGGCGCUCUUCACGCAAGAGCUGCAGCCGCGCGAUGUGGCGCGGCUGACCUCCUACUACGUCGAGCUAGCGACCAACGGGCCGCGUGACCGCGUCGACCCUCUCUGCGCCCCCGCCGCGCUUGGCGAGCACAACAUCUUCGGUCACCGCGGCAGCGUGAGAAACGAGGAUGUCGCCAGCUUCGGCAACCUCGACGCAGCGUCGGCGAGCGUGUUUGCGCCACCGACGCGGCCCCGGUCCCUCUUCGCAUCCUCCCACCUCCUUCCAUCGCACAAAAACCACCUGCUGUCGGCAGCCACAGCCAUUCACGUGCGUCGCGCCGGACUGCUGCAUCUGGUGCUGGAGCAGUGCCUGUCGAACGUGCUGCAUGACCUGGUCGGGGACACGGUGGGCUGGCUCUGGACCGCCUGUCUGCAAGCAGCACCGCCGGGAGCCGCACCGAAUGGCACGCAGUAGCAUCUCCCUCCCUCCCAUCAUCUCUCUCUCCGCACUGUCGUAAGCACAGCCGCACCCGCACACUCGGUCACGUCGUUCUCCUUCAGUCGACUUCCGCUGGACCUCACCGUGGCACCUCGCCUCUCUCGCC
rnacentral:misc_RNA from 1 species